GGAAGUCCAAGUUUAGUAUAGUCAUCCCCGAAAAAGAAAACCCAAAACCCUCCAUUUUCACAUCUUCCUCUUUCCUUACUACACCGGAGUUGUUGCAGAGACACUCCCUCUCCUCCGAAAAUGACAAUUCACUCGGUGGUUAUCCAGAAGCUUCUCAGCACAAACGCUCACUUAGGCCGCCGCAUCACCGCCCACCAUUGCAAACCCUUCAUCUAUGGCAGCCGCAACGGCACCUCCAUCAUCGACUCCGACAAAACCCUAAUUUCCCUCCGGAAUGCGCUCGAUUUCAUCUCCCAUCUUGUUCGCGGCAAGGCGCGCUUCCUCUUCGUCAACACCAACCCUCUUUUCGAUGACAUUUUCGACCACAUGACUCGUAAGAUCGGCCAUGGCUCCUUUCUCUCUCCUCAAGCUCAGUACUGGCGUCUCGGGGGGUUUUUGACGAAUUCUUCAAGCCCUAAGAAGUUUCGUUCUAGGAAUAAGAAGAUUUGCUUUGCUCCUGCUCAGCCUCCGGAUUGUGUUGUCAUUAUGGAUUUUGAGAGGAAGUCGUCUGUGAUUAAUGAGGCAGCCAGGCUUCAGAUUCCGGUUAUUGGUUUGGUUGAUUCGAGUGUUCCCAGGGAGGUUUUCGAAAAGAUUACUUACCCGAUUCCGUGUAAUGAUUCGGUUCAGUUUGUUUAUACGGUUUGUAAUUUGAUCACCAAGACGUUCUUGCUUGAGCAGAAGAGUUUGAAUUUGAAUGAUGCUUCUGCAACUGAUGCUUCUGCAAUUAUAGCUUCUGCAAUUGAAGCUUCUGCAAUUGAAGCUUCUGCUACUGAUGCUUCUUCUACUGAUGUUUUUGCUACUGAUGCUUCCCUGGGGUCUGUGGAGAGCAGGAAGGAUGAGAAGAUGUGCAAAACUUGUGAAUUUUAAGAAGUUGAGGGCUAAAAGUCUGUUACAGACUUACAGUGAGGAAGCAACGGUGACAGAAGAUAAUCAAUCUUCAGAAGAUUUGAAGGUUGUUGAUACUCGCUGUCACGAAUGAGGUUAUUGGGUGGAUGAGCACAAUAGAGUUAGGAAGAACGGUUUCAGUUGAUCUUGAAGUAGUUGCUGCCAUUCAGCAGACAUUCUUCUUAGGUAGAAUGUUAGGAUACUUGCUCGAGAUUAUACGCUGAGGUGUUUCUCAUGCCUAUUUUUUUUUCUUAAUAACAGUCAAAAUACAAAUUUUGUAUAAAUAGUUAUUGUAUGGUCCAUUUUAAUAUGUUGAAAUCCCUCAUUGCAGAAGUUGUUUUUGAUUCAACAGAUUUCCCCUCAACCCCAUGCUGUUUUCUGUAACAUUGAAAAAACCCAUAUUUGAGUUGUAGAACAGAGGCUAUGCGGUGAUGAAACAAUAAAGCUUUGGAUUUCUUUU